AGCUGUUCCCUGCCCUCCGGCGUGUCCACAUCUCCCCAUAGCUUUGUGUCAUCUGCAAACUUGGACAGAGUACAUUUCACUCCCUCGUCCAAGUCACUGAUGAAGACAUUAAAGAGUAUCGGUCCAAGGACUGAGCCCUGCGGGACCCCACUGCCCACACCCUUCCAGGUCGAGACCGACCCAUCCACCACGAAGACCGACCCAUCCACCACGAGAUAAGUGUUUUUUGUGUUUUUCUUUAUAUGUGUUUUCAAUAUGUUGUGUUCAUAAACUAAAUAAUACCCAUAUGUACUUUUAUACCUUAGCAUUUUAAACCAUAAAGCACCUGUCAUCUAUAAACACACUAACUUCACAAAAAUAAGGGAUAACUGGGCAAAAAUAUAACUUUCCUAGAAGGGACUGCAAUGCAGUAUACAGAAGUGGAAAGCAGCAGUUGCUUUUAAAUUGCAGCUACUUGGCUUUUGUAAAGUUAAGGGUCAGUCCUCAGAAAGGCGGGUUGGAGUGAGUGGGGACGGGGAGUGGAAGAAUGCUCUUCUAUAGAAGAACUUUCCAUCCUUCAUUAGAACCACCUGGUGUUAAUAGUAAUACUAGUCAUACUAGUAGUAUUAGUAAUAAUAAUAAUGCGCAAUUCUUACAUAGCACCUCUUAUCUGUCAUUUCAAGUGCUUUAUACAGAGAAAGACAGUAUCAUUCUUCACAUUUUACAGAUGGGGAAACUGAGACACAACAAGGUGAAGUGGUUUGUCCCAAAUCAACCAGCAGGUCAAUGGCAGAGCUAGAAACCAAAUCCAGAUCUCUGGAGUCCCAGUCAGUCCUCUAACCACUGUAAAGCACUUCCAGACCCAAGGGAAGACAAUAUCCAAGUUUGUUGCAUACCACUGCAAUAUCAACACAGAUUAGCUCGGCAAUUGGUAAGGUUGAGGUGAGAUAUUUGAAUGUGCUCAUGAGACUCUAAGAUUGAACUCUUUGCUGUUGAUUCUCCUACUGGCAAUUGAUUUAUGGUUUUACUUUAUUCCCACAACAUAUCCUGUGCUGGCUUGAGUUGGGGGAGGAGUCCUUGAAGCAGCUAUUACUGAGGAAAGGUGCAAAGCUGCCUGCUAAGAACCCCUCACCAAGCUGUGGUGCAGAGGAAGCAGUAGCAGUGGAGUAGUUAGGGGUAUCUCAGAGACAGGAGUACAUCAUCCUCAGCCCUACCAGGGAGGCUGCUGUAAAUUCUACAGUGUCUCAUCCUUUCUCCUAAACUUUAAAUUAUGCUUGUCAUCCAAGAACAGCCCAGAAUCAGGACAGCAUAAAGGUGACUUAAAGCUACCUUGGCCUGCACUUCCCUUGGGCCAUGUAUUUUGUAUUAGACCUAAGAGGCACACCAGGACUAGGGACAGACAUUCAAAAAGCCUGAGCCGGAACUGAUUCAAUCUUUGCAGGUUAGUAUAACCUGGCUAGGCUGAAUUAGUUUAACUCCACAGACAUCCUAGAAAUGCAGGCAAAUACUUGCAGUGGCUCAGACUAGAAGCCAGGGGGUGCUAGAGCACCCCUCCCGUCCCUUCCACAAUGCUGAGUUGAGGGGGGGCAUGGUCAGGCCCUGGCAGGAUGCUCUAAUUAGGGAGGGGUUCUCCCUCCUCCCUCCUGACUAGCCCAGCAGGGAAUUGAUAACACAGUGUUUAUCACACCAUUAAGAAAAUAACAGAGGGACAUUACCAGCUACCUGUUGAGUCUGCCUUUGUCCCAUCUGCCACAGCAUGGACCGUAGCCAGCAUGUGGUCUGCUAGCUAAUGCUGAGAGGUGUCUGUGUAAGGCAGAGGAGAGGGGGGAAUCCCUGCUUAGCAGGGAGUAAGUUUAGGAGUGGGGAGCAGGGGGAAGCCAGGCAGUUUCUGCCAAGCUCCAGCCAGGGAGCAGAGGGGAGGGGCCAGCCCUGCUGUGGAGCAAAGAGCCCUGCCCAGCCCAGAGAGCAUGCUGGGAUGCUGGGGGAGUCUGGUUUAACUUAAAUCAGCAAGGGGCCUGGGACAGACAUUGCAUAAACCAGUUUGACCCAAGUCAGUUAAGUCUGAUACUACAUUCAACCAGAUUUCUCUCAAACCAGUUUCAGCCAUUUUCAAACUGGUUUAUGUGCACUGAACAUCUGUUCUGUUACAGGUUUAAACCAGUUUCUGAUCACUUAAACAUUAUGUGUAAUGUCUGCUCCUAGCCCAGUGGUUUCUCUCUCACUAACUUGACUUGCACUGUAGCUCUUUAUCAUCUCUGUGUAAUUAUUUGACAUACAAGCCAGCUGAAUGUACUGACUCACAUGGUACACAAACACAUUCAUGUUUGGUUUCUAAAUGUUACUAGUUAAAGAUGAAUGUCUAUGCCCAUACCAAGAAUUAUCAUUUUUACAUGUUCUGCAGAACACAAAGCCCAAAAUGUUUGUAAAAGAACACAACAUUUUUGCUAGAAUUUUGCUUUUCCCACUACAUUUCUCUUUGCCUCUCUCACUAUUUUAAUAUAUCUUUCACUUGCUCAACAGAGAAAAUGCUACUGAACAGGUAAAUGAUUGCUCAGGAUCAACCAUGGAUUUUACCGAUCCCAUUAUUUAUUGUUACCCUGGUGAUGUUUUGGGUGAAAUGAUUCCAAGCCCCAGUACCAAGUUCUGUUUGAUACUGAGGACUCCCUGGUCUUGUCCAGCAGGUCCCAACGAAGACAGGACUGAGCACACCCCGCACAGGCAACUUUACAGGCCCACUUCAGACCAAGGUGUUCAUCAGGAAGAUUGCUCUGGGUUUGGCCCUUUAUGCCCAUACUCAAGCCUGUGGUCUCCAGCAGGCCUGAGAGAUGCUGCUAGGGUCAAGCCUGGAGCAGCCUCACUUGCAAACUUCUCUAGAUCAUGCCUGAGGGUUCAGGUGUAUAGCAUGUGUCCAGCUCCAUUCUUGCCAGGACCAGCCACAGUGGUUGUAUAGACAAGCCUUCUACAUACUUAAGUUAGACUGCAAAUUCUAUUUUGAACAUGGCUUAAGGAAAUGAUCCUUCGGGCACAGAGGGAGACGAUCCCGAUGCAGGGAAAAAGGGGAAAGGGGGCCAAGAGGCUUCCUUGGCUGACCAGAGAAAUCCAGAGCAGCCUACGGGCAAAAAGGGGGGCAUAUAAAAAGUGGAAACGGGGAGAGAUUACUAAAGAGGAGUAUACCUCCUCUGCUUGCGCUUGUAGGCCAGGCUCAUGCAGUUAGACAGGCCAAAGCUACCAUGGAGAGGAGGAUGGCAUCCCAAGUUAAGGAUAACAAAAAAUUGUUUUUUAGAUAUAUAGGAAGUAAAAGGAAGGCCCAGGGUGGAAUAGGACCUCUACUAAAUGGGCAUAAGCAAUUGGUGACGGACAGGGGGGACAAGGCUGAACUCCUCAACGAGUUAUUUGCCUCAGUGUUCCUAAGCGAGGGGCAAGACAAGUCUCUCACUGGGAUUGUAGAGAGGCAGCAGCAGGACGCCAGACUACCAAGCGUAGACCCUGAGAUGGUGCAGAGGCACUUGGAGGAACUGGAUGCGUUUAAGUCAGUAGGCCCAGAUGAGCUCCAUCCAAGGGUACUGAAGGCACUGGCUGACGUCAUUGCACAGCCACUGGUGGGAAUAUCUGAACACUCAUGGCACAUGGGCCAGGUCCCGGAGGACUGGAAAAGGGCCAAUGUGGUCCCCAUUUUUAAGAAGGGGAGGAAGGAGGACCCAGACAACUAUAGGCCAGUCAGUCUCGCCUCCAUCCUUGGCAAAGUCUUUGAAAAAAUUAUCAAGGCUCACAUUUGCAAGAGCCCGGCAGGAAAAAUUAUGCUGAGGGGAAACCAGCACGGGUUCAUAGCAGGUAGAUCAUGCCUGACUAAUCUAGUCUCUUUUUAUGACCAGGUUACAAAACACCUGGAUGCAGGAGUAGGGAUUGACGUCGUUUACUUAGACUUCAGGAAGGCCUUCGAUACGGUAUCCCACACCAUACUGGUGAACAAGCGACUCGGACGAGGGAGUGAAGUGUACUCUGUCCAAGUUUGCGGAUGACACAAAACUGUGGGGAGAAGUAGACACGCCGGAGGCAGGAAACAACUACAAGCAGACCUGGACAGAUUGGACAUAUGGGCAGAAAACAACAGAAUGCAGUUCAACAAGGAGAAAUGCAAAGUGCUGCACCUAGGGAGGAAAAAUGUCCAGCAUACCUACUGCCUAGGGAAUGACCUGCUUGGUGUCACAGAAGCAGAAAGGGAUCUUGGAGUCGAACAUGAGUUGUCAGUGACAAAAUCAUCAGAAAAGCUAAUGGCACUUUAUCGUGCAUCAGUAGAUGCAUGACGAACAGAACUAAGGAGGUGAUAAUUCCCCUCUAUCGGGCGCUGGUCAGACCACAGUUGGAAUACUGCGUGCAAUUUUGGGCGCCGCACUUCAAGAGGGAUGUGGAUAACCUGGAGAGGGUCCAGAGAAGGGCCACUCAUAUGGUUAAGGGCUUGCAGGCCAAGCCCUAUGAGGUGAGACUAGGGCACCUGGACCUCUUCAGCCUCUGCAAGAGAAGAUUGAGAGGCGACCUUGUGGCUGCCUAUAAGUUCAUCACGGGGGCACAGAAGGGAAUUGGUGAGGUUUUACUCACCAAGGCGCCCCUCGGGGUUACAAGAAAUAAUGGCCAUAAGCUAGCAGAGAGCAGAUUUAGACUAGACAUUAGGAAAAACUUCUUCACAGUUAGAGUAGCCAAGGUCUGGAACAGGCUCCCAAGGGAGGUGGUGCUCUCCCCUACCCUAGGGGUCUUCAUGAGUGUCAUGACCCAGAGGUCUGAUUUUUUUUGUGUGUGUGCUUCGGCACUAAGAAUUAUCCCCAUGGGUAUACAGCUUCGUUGCAUGGAGGAGUUCUGCUGCGCAGAGAACCCGCGCGCAGGGAAGUGUUUCCGCCACUUUGCAGCGAUCUUUGCAGGGUGCAUUUCCUUUGCAACACAGAAAUGCACGGUGCAAAGGUUUCCCGCUCGUCGUAUGCAAAUUCGUGCCCCGCAAUUGGCUAGUUCUAAAUUAUUCACACGUGGCGGCUAGCGAUUGGCCUGCUAGCCGUAUAAGAGGCUUGAGCAGUUUCCGCCCAAGCCGAAGAGGACUCCGCAUCCAUCUCGUGGGGACUCUGGGUGUGCGCGGCAGGGUAAUAGAAACCCUGUGUGUCGCUCAGAGGAGUUUGGCAGCCUGAUCCACCGCCCACCUCUUCCCGUCUUCGAACGGAGCCUACUAUAAGACGUAACGACGAGUUUUAUGCGCGCUUGUCCUGGACAUCCGGAGUUUGUCUGCGUGGAGCCUAGCAAGCUCCACGUGAUUGUUCGUUUUCUGUCUGCGUGGAGCCUUGCAACCUCCUCGUGUGUUCGUGUUUUCUGUUGUAACCGCAACUCAAGCAAGUUCUCAGCCUACACCACGACCAUCUCGGUGUAAGUAAAAUCUUAAAAUCAACCGUUACGUGUAUGUGCCUAAUUCUAGCUUGGCGCCCGCCCUCUCCGACCCGGCCUGCCCGGGCUGCUGGCCACAGCCCGCGGGCAGAGCGACGAAAGCGACCCGGGGUCAGACCCGGCGCGCACAAUGAGAAGGUUAGAUAGGCAUGUAGCUGGGGUCAUCUAAACCCGGCACUCUUUCCUGCCUAUGCAGGGGGUCGGACUCGAUGAUCUAUUGAGGUCCCUUACGACCCUAACAUCUAUGAAUCUAUGAAUCUAUGGGGCUUGGCUCCCUUGUGUUUUGCUUCUAUAUUGAGAUAAAACUCAGAAGAUGUGACAGGAGAAAUGAUUUAAUGUGGCACAGUACUCUUGAAUGGACAGCCAUCAACUAUCAGACCAGUUUUUCAAUCUGAAGACCAAGAAGAGAUAAACAGCAGAACAACCUGUGAGGGAAUAUGAUCAUUUGACAAAGCUGAUGAUCAGAGGGACAUUUGACAAAGGUCAGGAGGUUAUAAAACUGGUCUCUCUCACCAGCCAUUUUGGAAAGAGGGGAGAGGAAAAGGAAAGAAAUAAAGAAUUGGUUGUACAGGAUGCAGACUUCAUGUUAGAUAAGAUGCUAUGAACUGCAAAAGGAGAAACCUUGACACCCAAGAGUACUCUCACCUAAGCAUGCAGAAGCUGUGAGAAACCUGAGACAGAAAAAUACACAGUUUUGUAUAGUUCUGCAUAUUUCUUGUGCUGACUAAUGUAAAGAGUAAUUGGUUUUUAAAACUCUAACAAAGUCUACAAGUCUAUUUAGUGCAGUUAUCACAUGUCCCUGAAAAGGUGAUCUGUAAAUUUAAAUCACAGGGUUGGAGCACUGGGAAAGAAAUGCUUACACUACUAAGAAUCCUAAUUCUGUGAUGGGGUAACAAAAGCUUGUGCCUUGGAAAUGUGCUAGAGCCUACUCAGCCCAAGGAACGAGCCAGUGCAGUAGCUUCAGAAUGCAUGGGCCCUGUGCCAUAGAAUCAGAACUCCACCACCUGGUGAGUAUCCAUCUACCAGAAUUGUAAAGGGGUUGUAUGACGUCCAGUAACACCCACACCCUCACAAUCCCAACUCCUCUUCCUCCCAAGUCUGCUUGUUUCAAGUUUCUGUUAUAUUUUGCUUUUAGAGUGCAGGUACUUCAGAGCAAAGACUUCCAUUAUUAGUUUGCAUACUGGCUUGCACAAUGGAGCCUGGUUGAGGUAGCUACUACAAUAUAAAUGUUAAUUUAUUAAUAAAAUACAAUUAAGUUAUUGUGAAAAAUAAGUGUAUUCUCUUCCUGUAGGACAGGAAAGAUUUUAAGGUUGCAUAACUACCAAUGAAGCAAUCUAUAUGCUUUAUACAUGAAUAAAUGGCACAUACAUUGUCUAUCAGGCAAACUAUCUACUAACCAAAUCUGGGGUUGUGGGUGUGAUAACACUAGAUAGCUGUUUCACAGAGAAAAAAAAGCCGGAACCACUAACAAGUAUAUAGACAAAUAGAGCUGGGCAAGAAGCAGAGUUCAUGAUUCUUAAGGAAAUUCCCUCUUUUAGAAACAUCAGUUCCACUAUAACUGACAAAAAUGUCAAUGCUGUCAAGCAUCUCAUGGGGCCUCGCAGGGACCCUGGGUCUGAAACAGACCUGCCAGCAGACUUCACCCACACUGGGGAUCCUUAGUUUCCAGGUCCAAGCUUUGGGGCAGACCAAGCAGGAAUCCAGACAGGUUGUUCUGGAAGUGGUGAAAGUUUGUCCAUGGGGUCUCAAACAAAGUAUUUCUGGUUUAGCAAACCAGUAGUUUUGUAUGAAUUUUGGUUGGUCCAAAAAAUUCCAAAUAGCUCUUCUUCUAUGAGAACCCCAGUGCAGAAGCCAAAGCCUCUACAAGUUUUCCCACACAUGAAGAGUAAAAUUCAGGGCCUGAAAUGAGCCGGGGUCUGAUGGCAUUAGCUGCAUGAUGCUUCUUGCUCUUAGUUUUUAUCCAGUUCAUUCAGUAAGGGUGGAGAAGGGGGCAACAGACUCCUGUUAUUGUUCAGCGCUACAGCCACUUCUCUUAGCUUGGCAGCCAGAAUUGAAUUUAGCCUGGUUCCUUAGGUGUUCUUUUGACAGAUGGUGCCCUAGUGACUCUGAGCACAGCAGCAGCAGAGGUGGCGAUACUGAUAGCUUACCCUUCUAACACAGGUUUGGUUAAUGAAGCAGAAGAACCUGCAGAGCUUGUAAGAACAGGACCCAGAGGAGUCAUGGUGGAUAACUUUUUCUUUUCUGAUUUUCCUGUUUCAAUUAAAUUUGACAUUUCUGAGAGUGAGCUUGGUUACAGACUAUUAAUCUGUGGCUGAGACCCAAGCAGGGGGAAAAAAAUACUUCAAUGAGAAAAAAGAACAACGAAAUACAGAAAAGCCACGCUUGGAGUGAAGCAUGUUGUUUAGAUCAUUUUAGCCAGUUUUCCUGUGGCCAUCUAGCACUGCAGUACAAUAAAGUCGCAUUUAGCCCUUAUAGAAAGGGACACAACCACAUUUUCAAACCCACUUCCCUUUCCCUUCCCUCCCUCCCCUGCUUUUUAAGUUAAUGAUGUACCUCAUUUAGGAAGACUUAGAUAGCAGGUGUAAAUGCUGGACACAUCAUUAGAGCUGCACAAAAUGGUUGUAAUUCAGGCCUAGCUUAGUGAACGCUUAUCACAGUUUGAGACAGCUCAAGAAAACUUUAUGCCUUGUCUGUGCUGCAAAGUUCUGCCUCUGCCAGCAGAGCUAUGUCUGCACCCAGGGGCUGUGCCAAUGUAGUUCUGCUGCUGCCAUUGAAGUAGUGGCAGUCCUGUAGUGUAGACUAAGCUUUAGCCUCAGAGAAGUUGGAUACAGGAUUGUGUGGAGGUCUAGAUCAGAUGAUCACUUCAGGUGAAAGAACACGAAAAACUGCAUUACUUUGCUUCCAAAGCAGACUGUCUGCGUCUGUUUCAAUUUGACUUAUGCUUCAGGGUUGGUUCAAACCCAGAUCUGUGGGGGGCGUGAAUCCACUUAAGCCAAAAUUAAUACCAAAACCACACAAAAACUACCUCUACAAAACUAUAAAUCAGCACCUCAUAUCCUAACACUGGCAAAGUAUAGUGAAUUCAGAUCUGGGUUGGAAUUUGAUAUUGCAGAUCCAUCCUUGAAAAAUAAACAAAAGGAAACAAAACCAUAUGCUGUGGAAAUGAAACGGAUACCUGCAAUCACAAAAUGAACAGCUAUCAAAUGAAUCUUUCCUUUGGAAAUGUUAAGAACAGCUUUUCUUUCAAAGUUUCUAGUGCAGAGGAAGAUCCCCUGGAAAUUAUUUCCAGUAGAAAGGGAAAUGGAAUAUAUUCAGCAGCAGAUGAAGACAACCUUAAUGGAAAAUGUUCACUGCAGGUUAAGGUUUUCAUCUCAAUAAGGCAGCAAGGUAAUAUAAAUGGCUGUUAAAAUCACUAUCCAUAGAAGAGUACACAUUACAGCAGAAAUGUAGCAAGACAGGGUAAGCCACUUAGGAAUGGUGUUACAAAACUCCCUUCCCAGGCCACUCUGCACAAGACAGGGGUUAUUACUCUUUCCACUUAAAAUAAUAGAAAAUGAGGGUUGGAAGAGACCAUGGGAGGUCAUCUAGUCCAACCCUCUGCUCAAAGCAGGACCAUUCCUAACUAGCUCUUUCCAGCCAGGGCUUUAUCUAUCUGGGCCUUAAACACCUUCAAAGAUUGAGAGUCCAUCACCUCUCUGGGUAACCUGUUCCAGUGCUUCACCACCCUCCUACUGAUAAAGUUGUUCCUAAUAUCCAACUUUACCUUCCCUUGCUGCAACUUGAGAUGAUUACUCCUGCUGAGAACAGUCUAGCUCCAUCCUCUUUGGAACCACUCUUCAGGUAGUUAAAGGCUGCUAUCCAACCCCCCUCUCCCCAAUCUUUUCUUCUGAAGACUGGAUAAACCCAGUUCCCUCAGCCUCUCCUCAGAAGUCUUGUGCCCCUAACCAUUUUCACUGCCCUCCACUGGACUCUUUCUAGCUUGUCCACAUCCUUUCUGGAGUGGUGGAGGGGGCCCGAAAAGUGGACACAGUACUCCCAGUGCGGCCUCACCAGUGCUGAAUAGAGGGGAAUAAUUACUUCCCUUGCUCUGCUGUCAUGUUCCUACUAAUGCAGCCCAGUAUGUUGUUAGCCUUCUGGCAAUAAGGGCACACUGUUGACUCAUAUCCAGCUUGUCCACUGUAAUCUCCAGGUCCCUUUCUGCAGGGCUGCUGUUUAGCCAGCUGAUGCCAAGCCUGUACUGGUGCAUGGGAUUGUUCCAUCCUAAGUGUAGGACUGUGCACAUGUCCUUGUUGAAUCUCAUGAGAUUUCUUUUGCUCCAAUCCUCCAAUUUCUCGAAGUCAUUCUGAAUCCUACCCUUCCAUCCAGCAUACCUACUACUCUCCCCAGCUGGUUGUCAUCCGCGAACCUGCUGAGGGUGCACUCCAUCCCAUCUUCCAGAUUGUUAAUGACGAUAUUGAAAAAAAAUGGGCCCAGGACAGACCCUUGGGGCAUUCCAAUUGAUACCAACUGCCAACUAGUUCUCAAGCCAUUGAUUACUACAAGUUGAACCUGACAAUCCAGCCACCUUAUCUAUAGUCCCUUCAUCCAAUCCAUACUUCCUUAGCUUGCUUGCAAGAAUGUUGUGGGGGACCAUAUCAAAAGCCUGGCUAAAGUCAGGGUAUAUCACAUCUACUGCUUUCCUACCAUCCACAGAGCCAGCCAUUUCAUUAUAGAAGGCAAUCAGGCUGGUCAGGCAUGACUUGCCCUUGUUGAAUCCAUGCUGACUGUUUCUAAUCACUUUCUUCUCCUCCAAGUGCUUAGAAAUGGAUUCCUUGAGGACCUACUCCAUGAUUUUUCUGGGGACUGAGGUGAGGCUGACUGGUCUGUAUUUCCCUGGAUCCUCCUCCAUCCCUUCCUUAAAGAUGGGCACUAUUAUUUGCCUUUUUCCAAUCGUCCAUGACCUCUCCAGAUCACUAUGUCUUUACAAAGAUAAUGGCCAGCAGUUCUGCAAUCACAUCACCCAUCUCCCUCAGCACCCUCAGAUGUACUGCAUCUGCUCCCAUGGAUUUGUACACAUGCAGCUGUAACCCGGGUGGUACUCCAAGAGGUACCCCCUCUCCAAUUGAAGGGAUAAAAGCAGGUGCACAAGCACUGUGGGAGGUGUAGGGACUCUCCUCCCCCUAUAGAGCAGAGCCAGACCACCAAUGGGGACUUAACCAUAUACCUUUUAAUGAGAGAACAGCACUGGGAACAUAACCAGUAUAAACCAGAGGGCAUAGGGGACACUACCAUGCCCCGAGGGGGCAGGAUUCAACAAAGGUUAGACACUUACAAUCAUAGACAUACUCAUCCAGUUGACAAAAGACAGGGUUAACCAAAAUGUAAAACAUAAACAGCAGAACAAACAAUACUGGUUGGCGAAAUAUAAAAGGCACAAAAUACAAAAUGUCAAAUAACAAGGAAUACAGGGCCUAGGUACCUGGAGGGGGGAGAAAGGAGGAAAACACAAUGACCCCUUUUCACUGCAACAAGAAUUUCUCCAUUACUUCACUCACCCCAGCUGGGACUUGAACUAGGAUCACCCACAUAGUAGGUAGAAACUCUACCACACAGACAUCAGUUCCAGUACUCUGCUAAGCUGCUAGUGGUCUUGGCCUUCCAGGAGCCCCAGACUCAUGUUGAGCUGCCUGGCUUCUGUUUGGAGGAGCUGGAAGCUGAGCUGGGAACCUCUCAGGUUGCUGCUCAGAUCCUUGCUGGAUCUGGGGAGCCUCUCCUGCUACCUGCAGCCUGUCAUAGGCAAUCCUAGAGCCCAGUGGGGAGCCUCUCCUGCCAGCCACAUGCCGUGCUGCUGAGGGUCCCACUGCUGCCUGUAGGUCCUACUCCUUCAGGCUCUUCUGGGGCAACUGCUCCUCCCCGCUGGCUCAGCUCUUAACAGCUCUUUGAAGCUCCUUCCUUGUGGCCCCUCCCUGGUCUCCUCUGAGUCAGCUGCGGUGCCCUUUUAUCCCCCUCCCGGUGACCCAAGGGGCCAAUCAGGGGACAUGGAAGGUGAGUCUCUGGGGUCUGAUUGGUGAGGAAAGGGAAUCCCAAGUCCUCCAAUCAUCUUUUACCCUUUCAAAACCCCUGGGCUAAGUCAUUGCCAGCCAGCCCGUCACACAGCUUUUCUAAACAACCCUUAACCUGUUCUUUCACCAUUGAGGGCUGUUCACUUUCUUCCUAAACUGUGCUGCCUGGUGCAAGUCUGGGGGCUGACCUUGCCUGUGUAGAUGAAGGUAAAAAAGGAACUGGGGACUUCAGCCUUUUCCUCAUCAUCUGUUGCUAGGUUGCCUCCCCUAUUCAGUAAGGGACCCACACUUUCCCUGAUCUUCCUCUUGUUACUGACAUACAUGCAGAAACCCUUCUUGUUAUAGUUCAUGUCCCUUGAUAGCUACAACUCCAAUUGUGCUUUGGCCUUCCUGACUUCAUCCCUACAUGCCUGAGCAAUAUUCUUAUACACCUCCCUAGUCAUAUGUCCAAGCUUCCACUUCUUGUAAGCUUUCUUUUUGGGUUUAAGCUCACUGAGGAGUUCUCUGAUAAGCCAAGCUGGUUGCCUGCCAUAUUCGCUAUUCUUCCUGCACAUCAGGAUGGUUUGUUUCUGCACACUCAGUAAGGUUUCUUUAAAAUACAACAAGCUCUCCUGGACUCCUCUCCCUCUCAGACUGGCCUCCCAGGGGAUCCUGCCCAUCAAUUCUUUGAGGUAGUCAAAGUCUGCUUUUCUCUCCUGCUCUCCUUUCUUCCUUUUGUCAGGAUCCUUUUCAACUUGAUCAGUUCAUGGUCACUGCUGCCCAUAUUGCCAUCUACUUCUACAUCCCACACAAAUUCUUCCCUGUUUGUGAGUAGCAAGUCAAGAAGAGCAUGGCCCCUAGUUGGUUUCUCCAACACUGACACCAGGAAGUUGUCCCCAGAGCUCUCCAGAAACUUCCUGGAUUGCCUGUGCACUCCAGGGAGCAUAUGUCAAGGUAACUGAUGUCUCCCAUGAGAACCAGGGCCUAUGAUCUGGAAACUUUUGCUGGUUGUCUGAAGAAAGCCUCACCUACCUCAUCCUCUUGAUCUGGUGGUCUAUAGCAGACACCCACCAAGACAUCAUCCCUGUUGUCCUCCCCUCCAUCCUUAUCGCAGAAAUUUAUGAAAGGUGUUAACUCAAACCCUACCAUCUUGUGCUUUUAAGCUAUAGAGAUGCCCCCCAAUUCAAGUCCGCUCAGAGAUGGUCAUCAUAUGAGCAGUAAAAACUAAGAAAAGUUGAAUAUCAUUGAGGCAAUGUGUAAACAUUCUCAUUGUUUUCAAUUUGCACAUUUACUAAACCAUUAUGAUUAAUGCAUUUGACAACUAAAGUAUAUACCUAGGAAGCUCAGAAGUUCAACAAAUAGCAGAAAUUUGUUUUAACCUGUUUUUUAUCUCCAAAUCUGUUCUCCAUUUGUGGUGAUGAAAAUAGAAAUGCAAGAAUCAUAAGCUCAUAAAUUUAAACAUGAUCUAAGAGUACAGAUUUGAAAGAGAAAAAAAUCCCACUCUUCUGGUAACUGUACUCAAAUAGAUAGAUUAGAUUGAUAGAUUCAAAUACUGCCGAUGGAGGAAACCUGUACUUUUAUGUAUUACUGAAAAAGAAGGGGAAAUGCUGUGACCUGCUUGGGACAGUUGACUGAGCAAGUGUUGCUCAGCUUAAGUAUUGUUGAAUUGGAUCCUUAAGAAUGCAUUUUCAUUCUGGGCUACUAGUAAUUUUCAGAUGUUUAGGUUUUGAAGUACAGCCUGAUGCAGAGAACAUUAUAGUAAUCCAGAUUCAAAGUGACAGCACUUUUGUGGUGCUUAUCUCCAUACUAUCCAAGUGCUCUGUAAACAAACACCAACAGUGAAGUGAAGGGGGGAGUAUCACCCCCAUUUCAUGGACUAUAAAUUAAGACUAUAUAAGCACUAUGCAUGCUCAAAAGAAAAGCUCCCAAUUACUUUAGCUGUAGCUUGGAGUGCUCAGCAGUUCUAAAAGUCAGAGCAAGGAUCUUGGAUGAGGACAAAACAGAGUUAAUGGCCACCUGAGUAAAGCUUCACUUAAGUGACUUGCCCACAGUCACAUAGAAUGUCAUGCAGAAGUAGUUGUCUAAGGUAGGCAGUCUUGCCCAGGGAACUGUCUUCCAAUUCUCCAAGACAGUAUUGUCAUACUCAUGAAACCAACUUCUUUCUUUCUAUAGUCUCCUGGUUUAAUCACAACAAAGCCUUGAGCAUUCCCCAGAGCAGUUCCAUCAGUGUCCUGAAUCAUGUAGUCAUAGAUAAUGCAUAAAGAAGGGGUGAACUGAAAUACCACAGGCAACCUCAGUUCUGGCAUUUUCUAACAUUUCAGUGCUUGACUUUAUAAUUCCAAUGUCUUUUAAAACUGUUCUUUUGUAUAGUUUCAUAUACAUAGGAGGCAGACAGGAAUAGGCCCAAGUCUUCAGUUGAAGCAAGUUCUAAAGCAGAGGUCAAAAUUCAGGCAAUGAAGAACCAGUUGCAUGCUUAAAAUGCUACGUCCUAUCUGACAGACAGAGAGAGAGACUGCGCACAAGAGACAGAGAGGGACACAGAGGGCCAGAGGACGAGUGCGACAGAGAGCGAGUGCAACAGAGAGCAGGCAUGAGACAGUGAGGGUUUGAGACAGCCAGGGCACGAGAGCAUGUAUGUGAGACAGAGAGAGAACCAGAGCAUGACAGAGUGCAACAGAGCAUGAGAGUGACAGGGAUCGGGCACAAGACAGCGUGGGCAUGAGCCAGAUAGAGAGCCAGUGUGAGCCAGAGUGUGUGGUAGUGCAUGUGAGCAACAGCACGUGUGAGCAACAGCAACAGCCAGAGCCAGAGAGAGAGAGAGAGAGAGCGAGCCAGAGAGCGAGCAUGAUAGAGAGCAAGAGUGAUGGAGAACGACAGAGAGCUGACAUGAGACAGCAUGGACAUGAGACAGAGAGGGUGCGAGACAGUGCAAGUGUGAAACAGAAAGACAGGCACAGAGAGAGAGCAGGAGAGAUAGCCAGAACAUGACAGAGCAGGUGCAAGACAGCAUGGGCACAGGACAGCAUGAGCUAGACAGAGAGCCAGAGCAUGAGCCACAGCAUGCUCAACAGCACACAGCCAGAACCAGAGAGAGUGAGAGCCAGAGAACAAGCAUGACAGAGAGCGAGCACAAGACAGCACAGAUGCAAGACAGCGAGGGUGUGAGACAGUGUGGGCAUGAGAAAGACAGAGAGAGAGCUAGAGCACGAUAAAGCACGACAGAGUGAAAACGACAGAGUGCGACAGAGAGCAGGCACAAGACAGGGCAGGUGUGAGACACCAUGAGCCAGACAGAGAGCCACUGUGCAACAGCAUACACAAGUGACAGCAAUAGCCAAAGCCAGAGAGCAUGCGAGACAGCAUGUGUGCAAGACAGUGUGUGAAAGAGCACAACCAAGUGACAGAGAACAAGAGUGAGCAUGAAAUAGCAUGAGCCAGCACACAACAGAGCAUGUGAUAGAGCAUGCAAGUGACAUUGACAGCCAGACCCAGAGAGAGCCAAUAUGACAGAGCCAGCCUGACACUGUGCGUGAGAGACCCACUGUGUGAGGGAGAUUCCCCACGUGAAAGACAGACUGAGAGAGAGACAGACAUAUGGACCAUAUUAUGUAUGACAGUCUUCAUUGGAUUUGCACAGAUAUAACCAAGAGUAGAAUUUGACUGUAUCUUAAGUUUUGAAAGCACAUAGGGAAAAAUGUUAAAGUUUUACCUGGGAAUUAACUGCAGAUGAAUUUCACCAUAAUGAACAAUGAAUCAUCAUAUAUGAAUUAAGUUGUAUCAUUAUAUAAAUGGAACAAAUUAUAUUUGCAUUCCUUAAAUUGUUAUAAAAAUCUAUGUUAAUAAUCUUUCUAUUUCCAUGGAUUUUGCAUUAAUUAUCCAAAGAAUUGUUUGCUUCUGAGGCCUUAAAUAAAAUGCUUCUGCUUUUGUUUUAA